UGUUUGGAAAUGUCUUGAUUUGUGAUUUUCUAGGUUCUCUGUGAUACAGCUUCAUGAAACUGCUGUCAUGUUGGAAUAUGAAAUUUGGGAUAACCCGAACCUGUGCUUUCAAGCCACAGUCACUCAUGUUUGGCUCUGGAAUAAAUUCUUGUCCCCUUUGAGGUCCCCGUUCAGACUCUGUAUCCAGUUGUUUGUCCUCUCAGGGGUUUAGAUAAGCCGCAAGAAAACUUUCAGCUGCUCACCCUACUUAGCUGCCUCAGGUAGGACAGGACAGGUAAGUGAGGUGGGGGUGACAUUCCUGUCAAACUUCUCCUGCCUACCUCCUCCCCCACCAAAUGUGAAGCUGUUUCUAGCUAUUCCCAAAGAAUGCAAGAAAGAAUAUUUCUAGGAGAAAUUAUAGCACUGGGGACAUGUCUAUUCUACUCUCUACUCCUGCCUCCCUUGUCAUGAGCCGGUGAUUUCACAAAGCCAUUUUUGUCCAUUGGAAAGGAAGCAUGUCCAUGGACUCCAGGGAUACGAGCCCCGGUUUGGUCUCUGCCUCUUGUUAGCUGUGCAACACCAGGGAAGUCACCUGAGCUCUCUGCAUUCUUUCUUUGCUGUUAAUAAACACCUGCCUGCCCACUUGGGACCCCUUGAUCUGUGUUGACAGACAGACAAAGUAGACUUGCCAUCUCGGUCAGAUUUGUCCAGGUAUGAAGAGUCCGGAGGAAUUAAGACGCAAGAAGCCAGCUACUUCUCCACCCUUCAACUCUGGUGUCCCAUGCAGGGCAGAACUUAGGUAGGCAUGGAGAAGACAGAACUGAAUGCUGGGAAGAAGGGCAGAGAGGGAGACACCAUGGAUUUCCUGCCUGAGAUGGACACUGGUUAGAAUCUUACCAGUAAGCCACAGUCACGUACACAACUCUGGACACAUGACAGGUGACCCAGGACCAGGCCAGCAAGACCUGUGUCCUCAUGUUGACACUGGAUGCAACAUGCCAAAUGCUGCCAUCUCCUUUUUUUAAAGCCAGAGCCCAGGCUGAAGCUAGUGUUCUUGGAAUGCCUCGAGCUAAACAGCUGGGAAAGCGGACCAGAAGAAGAACGCAGCUUCCUAAGAGCAUGCUGGGAAGUGAGCCAGCUUGGCUGGCUGACACUUGUUGCCAUGCAUGCAAUUGAAUUUUCCCAGAAUGCCUCAAGACCUGUAGGAGAAUGCCACUUGGAGCCUGGUAUGGGAGUCAAGAUUCAACUGAAGAGACUGAAGAGUGGGCCAAGGGAAAAGAGCAUGGGGCAGCACUUACCGGCAGGCGUGAUGGAGGGGAAGGUGUGUCUCGGUCUGUGUGAGCCUCUGCAGCUCUGGAGGGGUCAGCUGUCCAUAGUGGGAGGGAUGUGCUGGUCCCAGGGUCCACGGGAGGACUGGCAGGAAGGAUCCAGAUCAGCAGAUGCCUGGGAUUCAGAAAUUCUAUCCCUUGGGUGAAACAGGAUCUCUCUGGCCCUCUCUCUGUGUGGAAGAAGAUCAAGAGAGAAUAUCCAGCUCUGCUGGGCGAGCAGGGUGCAGUCUGCAGGGGCAGGGCACAGGGUGAACUGGGGUAAGGGCAACCAGCAGCUUCGUUAUGGAAGGCAUACACAUCACCUAUUUACCCUGAAGCUGAAUUAGUCAUUAAUUUGGGAUAUUUCCUAAAGCUGGUGAUAACAAGCAGGUGAUGGAGUUAGGCAGUGGUACUGGGUCUCUCCACGUGAAUGCUAGCUGCCAGGAGACCUUGCUAUGAGAGGGUUUAGGGAGUAAACCUAAGUUGUUACUGUUGUUGUUGUUAUGUGUGUUUGUAUGAUAUGUGAAUGUGUGUCUGUGUUUGUGAGUCAGAAGUUGGUUCUGGCCUUCUGCUGUGGGCUCCUUGGACUGAGCUCAAGGCUUACAUGAGGCAAGCGAUUGUGGGGGUUCUUUGAGAUGAGCAGAUGUAAAAAUCGUCUUUCUUCAGUCAGUAGGAUAAAGUCCUUUACAGUGUAUCAG